rnacentral:rRNA from 1 species
AUUGAACGCUGGCGGCAUGCUUUACACAUGCAAGUCGAACGGCAGCGCGGGCUUCGGCCUGGCGGCGAGUGGCGAACGGGUGAGUAAUGCAUCGGAACGUGCCCAGUAGUGGGGGAUAGCCCGGCGAAAGCCAGAUUAAUACCGCAUACGACCUGAGGGUGAAAGCGGGGGGCCGAAAGGCCUCGCGCUAUUGGAGCGGCCGAUGUCGGAUUAGCUAGUUGGUGGGGUAAAGGCUUACCAAGGCGACGAUCCGUAGCUGGUCUGAGAGGACGACCAGCCACACUGGGACUGAGACACGGCCCAGACUCCUACGGGAGGCAGCAGUGGGGAAUUUUGGACAAUGGGGGCAACCCUGAUCCAGCCAUGCCGCGUGCGGGAAGAAGGCCUUCGGGUUGUAAACCGCUUUUGUUCGGGAAGAAAUCCUCUGGGCUAAUACCCCGGGGGGAUGACGGUACCGGAAGAAUAAGCACCGGCUAACUACGUG